GACGAACGCUGGCGGCGUGCCUAAUACAUGCAAGUCGAGCGAGACUCUUCGGAGUCUAGCGGCGGACGGGUGAGUAACACGUGGGCAACCUGCCUGUAAGACUGGGAUAACACCGGGAAACCGGUGCUAAUACCGGAUAAUCCUUUUCCUCUCAUGAGGAAAAGCUGAAAGUCGGUUUCGGCUGACACUUACAGAUGGGCCCGCGGCGCAUUAGCUAGUUGGUGAGGUAACGGCUCACCAAGGCGACGAUGCGUAGCCGACCUGAGAGGGGGAUCGGCCACACUGGGACUGAGACACGGCCCAGACUCCUACGGGAGGCAGCAGUAGGGAAUCUUCCACAAUGGACGAAAGUCUGAUGGAGCAACGCCGCGUGAGCGAUGAAGGCCUUCGGGUCGUAAAGCUCUGUUGUAGGGAAGAACAAGUACCGGAGUAACUGCCGGUACCUUGACGGUACCUAACCAGAAAGCCACGGCUAACUACGUGCCAGCCGCCGCCGUAAGAC
rnacentral:rRNA from 1 species